rnacentral:misc_RNA from 1 species
UUUCCGUAGGUGAACCUGCGGAAGGAUCAUUAUUGUAUAACCGAGGUGCGAGGGCCGUCGGUGACCCGAAAGGUCGUGCACGCCCGCGUGCCCUUACACAUAUCCAUCUCACCCCUAUGUGCACCACCGCGUGGGGCCUCCUUUGGCUAGUUCGGCGGGGGGCUUACGUUUUCACACAAACGUAGUAUGCAGAGUAGAAUGUAUUUUUAUUUUUUGCGAUCACGCAAUCAAUACAACUUUCAACAACGGAUCUCUUGGCUCUC